AGUCGAACGAAGCUUGAUUUCUGAUUUUUUCGGAAUGACGAAUGAUAUGACUGAGUGGCGGACGGGUGAGUAACGCGUGAGCAACCUGCCCUUCGGAACGGGAUAGUGUCUGGAAACGGACAGUAAUACCGUAUAACAUAUAUUGAUCGCAUGGUUGAUAUAUCAAAACUGAGGUGCCGAAGGAUGGGCUCGCGUCUGAUUAGAUAGUUGGUGGGGUAACGGCCUACCAAGUCGACGGUCAGUAGCCGGACUGAGAGGUUGAACGGCCACAUUGGGACUGAGACACGGCCCAGACUCCUACGGGAGGCAGCAGUGGGGAAUAUUGCACAAUGGGGGAAACCCUGAUGCAGCAACGCCGCGUGAAGGAAGACGGUUUUCGGACUGUAAACUUCUGUUCUUAGUGAAGAAUAAUGACGGUAGCUAAGGAGCAAGCCACGGCUAACUACGUGCCAGCAGCCGCGGUAAUACGUAGGUGGCAAGCGUUGUCCGGAAUUACUGGGUGUAAAGGGAGCGUAGGCGGGAUGCCAAGUCAGCUGUGAAAACUAUGGGCUUAACUUGUAGACUGCAGUUGAAACUGGUAUUCUUGAGUGAAGUAGAGGUUGGCGGAAUUCCGAGUGUAGCGGUGAAAUGCGUAGAUAUUCGGAGGAACACCGGUGGCGAAGGCGGCCAACUGGGCUUUAACUGACGCUGAGGCUCGAAAGUGUGGGGAGCAAACAGGAUUAGAUACCCUGGUAGUCCACACUGUAAACGAUGAUAACUAGGUGUGGGGGGUCUGACCCCUUCCGUGCCGCAGCUAACGCA
rnacentral:rRNA from 1 species